rnacentral:sRNA from 1 species
ACCUCUGGAAGAGCAGUCAGCGCUCCUAGUUGCUGAGCCAUCUUUGUAUAUAGACAGAUAAAUGCUUGUCUUGUAGAGUUAAAAUACGAAGCCGGGUAGUUGCUGGGGAAAGAGAGUGAAAAGCCUGCUAAUCUGUCUUCUAUAGCAGAGGCCCCAGGGGGUGGGUUGUUGUUUGUUUGUUUGCUUCCUUUUGUUUGUUUGUUUCCAUGCCUACAAUCAGCCAAUGAGUGGUCCUGUUGCUCCAGCCCUCCACAGCACUGGCUGCUAUUAGAGUUCCUGAUCAUUUGCAAAGCAUCAAUGGCAGAGGUAAAGAAUAAAUCCUAUCGGUCCAUUUCCACCAUGAGAUGUGUUUAGAGCUCACUGGAGAAUCACAAAGAAGCAGGAGGCGGUAGCUUCCUGUCUUCCCUCGCUGGAGGAUGGAGCUUGCUCAUUGACGCCGUCUCAAUUCAUCCUGGGGUUUGCAAAGUUCCAGUCAGUCUGCUGUGUUGCUGAGCCCAUGUAUCAGAAAGAGAGGGAAUCUCAGGCUCCAGGAUGUACUUUAGGGGUUGGGAGUAUGCUGACUGGGAGAGUGCUUACCCAGCAUGCACUGAGCCCUGGGCGUGGUCCUCAGCAGUAAAUACAGGAGGUGUGGUGAGUAUGCCUGUCACACUAGCACUCAGGAAAAUGGAAGCAGAUAAAUCAGGUCAAGAUUAUCUUUGGCUGCAUAGGGAAGCUGAGGCCAGCCUGGGCUACAUGAGGUCUGUUUUUUGGGGGUUUUUUGUUUGUUUAUUUUUGUUUCUUAAAGAAGAAAGCAGAGAAAGGCCUUCCUACUGACGAAGCAUUUGCCACAUAGGCCCCUUUCAGCACCUUCUUUUUCACUUCCCACUUCCUUCUUGGCACUCAGCUGUUCUAGGUAGAAUGAGGGUUGGAGAGAGAAAGCCAGGUUCUGAUGAGCAAUGGGGGUUUCUCUUCCUCCCUGCCUUCUUGGCAGGGUUAUUGAGUAUCCAGUGAGUACAGGGCCUGGAGCUGAUGUGGGGAUCAGAAAAGAUAUCUCCUCAUGCUAGAGGCAACACAGAGCAGGCCACAAGGGAGGUCUCCAAGGGAGGAGGAUUUAGGUUGCGACUUGGAGGAACCGGGGAGGUGGCUCAGUAGUAGAAGCUCUGAGGCAAGCAGCAGGCACGAGGACCAGAGUUUGGAUUCCCAGAGCCCAUGUAAACGAAGGAUGAGCCUAUCUGUCCUGAUAUUCAGAAAGUAGAGACAGGAAAUGCCCCAGAGAAAGAUGCAGGCUAGGCAAGGCUGUACCAGUGAGCCCUGGGUUCACGUGAGAGGCCCCACCUUGACAGAAAAAAUGGAGAGUAACAGAGGGAGAGGCCCAAUAUCCUUAGCCCUCCACAUGCAAGUGUCGAAGGGCUGACAGGGCCUUCUGCAGCCUUGGCCAUCUCUGCAAGGACAUCCGAGGUGAUCAGCUGGGAAGGAACCUACAUCAUGGCCCUCCAUAGCUAUCUCAGGAAGAAGGAAAUCUUCAAGAAGAACAGGGGCAAACCUUGGUGAGUCAGCUCUGCACUCAGUGCUUCCUCGUAUCCCCCCAGGAUCCUGCGCAUUGCCUUCUGAGCCCAUUCUCUCUUGUGUUAAACAGUGGGUAAGCAUGUUCUCCUAAAUCUCCCUGGGUCUUCUAUCCAUCUGUGACACCCUGUACACCAAUGUGACUGUGGCAGACUCCCCAAGAGAGUCUCUCAUUCCAGUAUCUUGACAGAUGAAGCUUGGAGAGGCUGAGGGACAAGUCCAAGGGGCUGCAGGAAAGGAACGGUCCUGGUCCAGAUGAGAAGGAGAGCAGGCCAAGGAGGCAGCACCAUCAACAGGCGGCCCAGCCCCCUGACUCCACUUUGUGGAAGAUCAGAAGGCUGAGGUUCAGAGCCAUCAUAAUUUGUUGAAGGUCACACAGCAAAUGGACAGAGAGCAGCUGGUCAGAAUGAGGCCUCUGAGCUUCAGCUGAUGUCUUCCACCCCCCAGAAAUGAGGUGCAGGGGGUCACCUGGUUCUCAAGAUAAGGAGUAGCUGCCAGGCACAGUGGCUCACAGCCAUAAGCCCAACAGGUCUCAGGCCAGCCUGGACUGCACAUCAGGACCUUGGCUCAAAAUAACAGAGGAAAUGAAAAAAAUACAGACUUGCCUAGCAGAGUCCUGUUCAGUAUGGGUUAUAGUUGGACCCAGAGAACUUACUAAGCAAAGAGCAAUUGUUGGUGACAAUGGGUUAAUCCAUAGACAAUGUCUGUGCUUGUCCCAGGCUCAGGGGGACAGACUGGCCCUGCCUGAGCCCCUUCCAGCACAAGAUCAUGAUUCCCAGAAUACCAAGAGAAUGGAUGGCCAUCAGCCUCAGUGAAGCUCUCUAAGUCUCCUUGUCUUCUAUCAGCUCCCACCGUGAUGCAAGCCAGGGAAGGUGUGGGGCAAUUUAUUGCUUUAUCAAUAUUUAAUAUCUCCAGGGAGGUGACAUCAGCAAAAUUGCCUGGCCUUACAGAACCAUCUAGAUAGACAGUGGGACAGGCCCUUCAUCUCUCUGAAUGCCCAGUCCUCCCCACAUGGGGGACAGAUAAGAUUUAUAGACGCCUGUAAGAGGUAUAAUGUUGUAGAGGUUGGCCUCUUGAGCUAGUCAGGGGACCUGCUACCCAGGACCCCCACAAUCCCUCCCCCCUCUGCUUGUCACUUGGUCUAGUAGCAUGCAAGCCAGGUGGCUAUGCCACAGGAUUGAGGUCUAGGUCCUUGGCUGUUCUGGGACAUCAGUGAAGGGAGGCAGGGUGUCGGUAGUGCUGUGUGCUGAUCAACCCUUUAGAUGGAGGACACCAGGGAUAGUAGCCCUGGAUCCCUAGCCUCUACUCUCCCUGGGGCUCAGCUUCCCCUUCUGGAGAAUAUUCUGAGACACAGGCGAUGCUUCUCACUAGCUCUGGAGGGCAGACACCAGGCCACCUAAGGUGGCCAGCCCUCUGCUCUGCCCAGGAGAAUAAGGGAGGCCCAGAGGCAUGAUGGAAACAAGUCGUUGGAAGCUGGAGUGAGGGAAAAGAAAUGCAGAGAGGGAGCCUUGUGUUGUUUGUGUCUCUGGGGUCUCAGAGUUCCCAUUGCUAUUAUCUGGGGACACUGUGGUGGUUUGAAUAUGCUUAGCCCAGCGAGUGG